rnacentral:misc_RNA from 1 species
AACGCACGAGACCUGCGGACCUGCGGAGGGAUCAUUAUAGAGUGGUAAACCUCCUGUAAAAAGGGGGUGACCUCCUGUCCUUUGCAGGCUCUUUUUUAAAGGGCUUUUUGACUUUCUGCUUCGGUGGGGUUAUCCCACUGGAACAACCUUAAAAAAACUCUGAAAAAACUUUUCUGUCUGAGGACCUUUUUUAUAAUUAAAAAAAACUUUCAACAACGGAUCUCUAGAUCGGAAGAGCAC